GGCCAUUAAGUCAAGUGGGGCAUGCAGUGCAGGGUGGUGGUCAGUGGUCACACCAAAGGGGCUCAAAUCUGGCAGUGGUCUCAUGGUCUUUGGCAAUGGCUCCCAUGGAAGAUUGCCUGUUUCAAGCUAGAAGCUAUAGCUCCUUCAAGUUGUGCAGGUAAUUCUGGGUACCAAACGAUAGGACAUGUUCAGAAAGUCUAUUAUGAGGGGUCAGUCUUUUGUCUGUUUGGCUUCAAUUUGAAACGGCUGUUCCCUUUUGCCCUGUCUCAUGCAGUUUCUUUAAAUGUAAUCCAUGUUUCUACCAGGUCCAUGAGUAACCCACCAGUGGCUUAAGAAGUGGCAGAAUGCUAGCAACUAUGGACUUGUAUAUAAGUAAAGAAUGAGAUUGGAUAGACGGAACA
rnacentral:lncRNA from 1 species